UUAACUAAAAAGAGCCAUUGCCAGCGAAGCUUUCGUACUCUAGCUACCAAAAGCAAAACCACCUCUAGCGAGGAAAACCCGUAGGGAGAGAGAGAGAGAUUGAAACGCCUCUCCGUCGUCGUUUCUGCUUCUCUAAUCGGAUUUUCGAAUGAAAAUGGCGGAUCAUUACCUGCUAGGAUGGAUCUUGGCAUCUGUCAUGG
rnacentral:misc_RNA from 1 species